AAUCCAUGGUGAGGACAUCUUCGCAGUAGGUCAUUUUAUCUCUCCCAUGCGUCGUAAAUAGUUUCUAAGUUCAUCUACACAAAUGAAGAGAUAUUAUUACGUAAUU
rnacentral:snoRNA from 1 species